rnacentral:rRNA from 1 species
UAGAACAGUGCGCGGGAGGCGGGGGAAAACGGGGGUGGGAAGGGUUGUUCGGAAUGACUGGGCGUAAAGAGGGCGUAGGUGGUCAGACUAAGUCAGAUGGGAAAUGUCUGGGCUCAAGCCAGAUAGGUCAUUUGAGACUGGGCGACUAGAGUGUGGAAUGGGUUACUGGAAUUCCUGGUGUAGCGGUGAAAUGCGUAGAUAUCAGGAGGAACACCGGAGGCGAAGGCGGGUAACUGGGCCAACACUGACACUGGGGCGCGAAAGCUAGGGGAGCAAACAGGAUUAGAUACCCCAGUAGUC